rnacentral:rRNA from 1 species
AUUGAACGCUGGCGGCAGGCCUAACACAUGCAAGUCGAGCGGAUGAAGGGAGCUUGCUCCUGGAUUCAGCGGCGGACGGGUGAGUAAUGCCUAGGAAUCUGCCUGGUAGUGGGGGAUAACGUCCGGAAACGGGCGCUAAUCCCGCAUACGUCCUGAGGGAGAAAGUGGGGGAUCUUCGGACCUCACGCUAUCAGAUGAGCCUAGGUCGGAUUAGCUAGUUGGUGGGGUAAAGGCCUACCAAGGCGACGAUCCGUAACUGGUCUGAGAGGAUGAUCAGUCACACUGGAACUGAGACACGGUCCAGACUCCUACGGGAGGCAGCAGUGGGGAAUAUUGGACAAAGGGCGAAAGCCUGAUCCAGCCAUGCCGCGUGUGUGAAGAAGGUCUUCGGAUUGUAAAGCACUUUAAGUUGGGAGGAAGGGCAGUAAGUUAAUACCUUGCUGUUUUGACGUUACCAACAGAAUAAGCACCGGCUAACUUCGUG